CCUGAUGCAGCACGCCGCGUGAGGGAUGACGGCCUUCGGGUUGUAAACCUCUUUUAGCAGGGAAGAAGCGAAAGUGACGGUACCUGCAGAAAAAGCGCCGGCUAACUACGUGCCAGCAGCCGCGGUAAUACGUAGGGCGCAAGCGUUAUCCGGAAUUAUUGGGCGUAAAGAGCUCGUAGGCGGUUUGUCGCGUCUGCUGUGAAAUCCCGAGGCUCAACCUCGGGCCUGCAGUGGGUACGGGCAGACUAGAGUGCGGUAGGGGAGAUUGGAAUUCCUGGUGUAGCGGUGGAAUGCGCAGAUAUCAGGAGGAACACCGAUGGCGAAGGCAGAUCUCUGGGCCGUAACUGACGCUGAGGAGCGAAAGGGUGGGGAGCAAACAGGCUUAGAUACCCUGGUAGUCCACCCCGUAAACGUUGGGAACUAGUUGUGGGGACCAUUCCACGGUUUCCGUGACGCAGCUAACGCAUUAAGUUCCCCGCCUGGGGAGUACGGCCGCAAGGCUAAAACUCAAAGGAAUUGACGGGGACCCGCACAAGCGGCGGAGCAUGCGGAUUAAUUCGAUGCAACGCGAAGAACCUUACCAAGGCUUGACAUAUACGAGAACGGGCCAGAAAUGGUCAACU
rnacentral:rRNA from 1 species